GGGGCUGACUAUAGCUUUCGACGAGAGGAAUUUAACAGAUCAUUUUGCAAGUCGAUCGUACACGUUACGUACACUUUUUUAAUUGCUAAAACAACUAAAGAACGACUCGCUAACGCGAUUGCACGAGUAACAACUCCUGCUCAAUCAAGUUACGCAUUAGCAGCCUAGGCUGCGUCCAUUCGAUAUCAACAGGCGACAUACUGAUCUCGAAUGUUAUAUUUAUGUCGCUUACUCCAGCGUUGCGCAGCGGCGGUUCUGGAGGACACUUUGCCGCGUGACAUUCUAUUCGUUUCUGUUUAUCUUAUAGAACAAAAUGUCGUAAAGAAUAAAGAUAAAAUAAACUUGUAGAUAAAUGAUCAGUUACUUCUCGGACCGGGGUGCGAUUCCCCGCAGCUCCACCA
rnacentral:tmRNA from 3 species